CCUACGGGUGACUGCAGUGAGGAAUAUUGGUCAAUGGGCACGAGCCUGAACCAGCCAAGUAGCGUGAAGGAUGACUGCCCUACGGGUUGUAAACUUCUUUUGUAAAGGAAUAAAGUGCGGCACGUGUGCCUUUUUGUAUGUACUUUAUGAAUAAGGAUCGGCUAACUCCGUGCCAGCAGCCGCGGUAAUACGGAGGAUCCGAGCGUUAUCCGGAUUUAUUGGGUUUAAAGGGAGCGUAGAUGGGAUGUUAAGUCAGUUGUGAAAGUUUGGGGCUCAACCGUAAAAGUGCAAUUGAUACUGGCAGCCUUGAGUACAGUUGAGGUAGGCGGAAUGCGUGGUGUAGCGGUGAAAUGCUUAGAUAUCACGAAGAACUCCGAUUGCGAAGGCAGCCUACUAAACUGCCACUGACAUUGAUGCUCGAAAGUGUGGGUAUCAAACAGGAUUAGAUACCCGGGUAGUC
rnacentral:rRNA from 1 species